rnacentral:snRNA from 1 species
AUACUUACCUGGCAGGGGAGAUACCAUGAUCAGGAAGGUGGUUUUCCCAGGGUGAGGCUCAUCCAUUGCACUCCGGGUGUGCUGACCCCUGCGAUUUCCCCAAAUGCGGGAAACUCGACUGCAAAAUUUGUGGUAGUGGGGGACUGCGUUCGCGCUCUCCCCUG